rnacentral:rRNA from 1 species
AUGCUAGUGGGUCAAAUUCCUCCAAAGUUAGGCUUUCUUUCAGAAUUACGGUACAUCGAUUUUAGAUCAAACAAACUCGAGGGCAACAUUCCUAAUGAGCUUGGGCAAUUGCUAAGUUUACAAGUCUUGCCCCUGGGAGACAAUUAUCUUUCAGGUGAAUUCCCACAUUCCAUCUUGAAUCUUGCCGGUUCUCUCCAAUAUCUAAGCUUGGAGGUGAAUAUGCUAGACAAGGCAUUGCCACCUAAUAUAGAUGACCUUCGGGGUCUCAUAGAGCUUAUCAUGAGUGGCAACAUUUUUGAAGGGCGCAUCCCGGCUUCCCUGGGCAACGCCACAGGAUUAGAAGUGAUAGACUUAUCAGCUAAUAAUUUCACUGGGCAAAUCCCUAACAUCUUCUGGAAGCUUCCAAAUUUGAGUAACCUAAACCUUCAACAUAACCAGCUUGAAACAAGCGACUGGGAAUUCUUAAAUGCAUUGACGAACUGUCGUUCUCUAAAAUCACUCGGACUGGCUUACAACCAGCUACUGGGAUCUAUACCGCAGUUUGUCGGUAACCUAUCCAACAAACUAGAAAGACUUACUUUGACUGAAAAUAGCUUAUUAGGACAAGUACCCCAGAGCAUCGGAAACCUUAGUGCAUUAAAUCAACUGGCACUAGGUAUAAACAACUUAAGUGGCACAAUAGAAGGAUGGCUUGAAAACCUAAAAGGCCUUCAAAUAUUAAAUCUCUGCUCAAACCGCUUCACCGGCCAAAUCCCACCCUCUAUUAGCAAUCUUAGUCGGAUGAUAAAUCUUUAUCUGUAUGAUAAUGAAUUCGAAGGCCUGAUACCGCCCAGCUUGGGAAAACUCCCACUCUUAGUGCUAGUCCUUAGCUCUAACAAUCUUGAAGGCCUCAUACCACCGAACUUAGGAAGCCUCCAACAGCUUACAUUUUUUAAUCUUAGCCACAAUAAUCUCCAAGGUGAGAUACCUCAGAUUAGCGCCCUUAAACAACUCACUACUUUAGAUCUUUCUUCAAAUAAGCUCACAGGGCAUAUUCCAGAUUCUUUGGGCCAAUGUUCCGGCUUAGUGAGUCUACAAAUGGACCAAAACUUUCUGUCAGGAAACAUCCCAAUAACUUUUGGUAAACUGUUGUCUCUGAGUAUGCUAAAUCUUUCACACAACAACUUGUCAGGCACCAUCCCGUUAGCUCUAAGCAAACUAGAGUACCUCGUCAAUCUUGACCUUUCAUAUAAUCAUCUUGAAGGAGAAUUACCGAGGAAUGGAGUAUUCGAAAAUUCUACAGCUGUUUCACUUGUGGGUAAUUGGAGGCUUUGUGGAGGUGCCAUGGAUCUUCAUAUGCCCAUGUGUCCUGCUGUUUCUCAGAGGCCAGAGACACAAUACUAUUUGGUCAGAGUGUUGAUUCCAUUAUUUGGCUUCGCGUCACUUGUAAUGCUGACUUACAUUAUAUUCUUUGGGAAGAAGACGUCAAGAAGAACAUACUCAAUUUUGCUUUCUUUUGGCAAGAAAUUCCCUAGAGUUGCUUAUAAUGAUCUAGCUCGAGCUACAGGGAAGUUCUCAGAGUUAAACCUUGUCGGAAGAGGAAGCUAUAGUUCAGUCUACAGAGGAAAGUUAACUCAAGCUAAAAUACAAGUGGCUAUUAAGGUUUUUGACCUUGGUAUGAAAUGUGCAGACAGAAGUUUUGUAACAGAAUGCGAGGUUUUGAGUAGAAUUCGGCACAGGAACCUUGUACCUAUCCUAACUGCAUGUUCGACAAUAGACAAUAGUGGUGACGCUUUCAAAGCUCUAGUUUACAAAUUCAUGGCUAAUGGGAAUUUGGACACAUGGUUGCACAACACAUACUCGGGUAGUUCUUCGAAAUGUUUGAGCUUAGCUCAAAGAGUAAACAUAGCCAUCGAUAUAGCCGAUGCACUGGCUUAUUUACACAAUGGUUGUGAAAGGCAGAUUAUACAUUGUGAUCUGAAGCCAACAAAUAUCCUACUUGACGAUGAUAUGAAUGCUUAUUUGGGAGACUUCGGCAUUUCAAGCCUCAUCGGACAUUCAAGCUUAGUCACCUCAAUUGGGCUGAAGGGAACGAUAGGGUACAUAGCUCCAGAGUAUGCUCAAAGUGGCCAGGCAUCAAUCCGUGGGGAUGUUUACAGUUUUGGAAUAGUACUCCUGGAGAUGCUCAUUGGCAAAAGACCGACAGACCCUAUGUUUGAGAACGAACUCAACAUGGUUAACUUUGUGGAGAGGAACUAUCCAGAUAAGAUAAUACAUAUUAUUGAUGCACGCCUGCGUGGAGAAUGCAAGGGCUAUAUCCAAGCGAACAUUGGAACAGAAAAUGCGGCAUAUGGAUGCCAGUUGUCACUCAUGCAAGUCGCUCUUUCCUGUACAUGUCAAAUCCCAAGGGAACGCAUGAACAUAAGAGAAGUAACCAAUACGUUGCAUUCAAUCAGAACAUCAUACAUUAGAGCAACCAAGCAAGAGCAAGUAAUGCUUCGCUAG